rnacentral:rRNA from 1 species
ACUCCUACGGGAGGCAGCAGUGGGGAAUCUUCCGCAAUGGGCGAAAGCCUGACGGAGCAACGCCGCGUGAGGGAAGAAGGCCUUCGGGUUGUAAACCUCUGUUUUCAGGGAAGAAAAAAAUGACGGUACCUGAAGAGUAAGCUCCGGCUAACUACGUGCCAGCAGCCGCGGUAAUACGUAGGGAGCGAGCGUUGUCCGGAUUUACUGGGCGUAAAGGGCGCGUAGGUGGUCUAUUAAGUUAUAGGUGAAAGCCCGGGGCUCAACCCCGUGAUUGCCUGUGAUACUGGUAGACUUGAGUGCAGGAGAGGGGAGCAGAAUUCCCAGUGUAGCGGUGAAAUGCGUAGAUAUUGGGAGGAAUACCAGUGGCGAAGGCGGCUCUCUGGACUGUAACUGACACUGAGGCGCGAAAGCGUGGGGAGCGAACAGGAUUAGAUACCCUGGUAGUC